rnacentral:rRNA from 1 species
UACGUAGGGAGCAAGCGUUGUCCGGAAUUACUGGGCGUAAAGGGCGUGUAGGCGGGAAUUUAAGUAAGGUGUGAAAACUCCGGGCUCAACUUGGAGACUGCACUUUAAACUGGAUUUCUUGAGGGCAGGAGAGGAAAGUGGAAUUCCUAGUGUAGCGGUGAAAUGCGUAGAUAUUAGGAGGAACACCAGUGGCGAAGGCGACUUUCUGGACUGUACCUGACGCUGAGGCGCGAAAGCGUGGGGAGCGAACAGG